AAUGGCCCGCCCCGGGGGUCACAUGGUUCAUAUAGACUUAUAUAGGGAAAAGCUUUUAAAAUGUUCUUGUCAAUAACUAAAACAUUCAAAUUUGGACCACAUGUAUAUUUUUGAGUGGCAAGAUGAACCUUGACACAAGUUGACUUUGAUUUUGACCUAGUGACCUACUUUCACAUUUCUGUAGCUACAGCCUUAAAAUUUGGACCACUUGUAUAUUUUUGAGUGGCAAGAUGAACCUUGACAUGAGUUGACCUUGAUUUUGACCUAGUGACCUACUUUCACAUUUCUGUAGCUACAGCCUUCAAAUUUGGCCACAUGCAUAGUUUUGUGCACUGGAAAAAACUUUGACCUUGAUUUUGACCUAGUGACCUACUUUCACAUUUUUGAAGGUACAGGCGUCAAAUUUGGACCAUAUGCAUAGUUCCGUGUUUCAAAAUGAAAUUUGACAUUGAUUUUGCCCUAGUGACCUACUUUCACAUUUCUCAAGCUACAGCCUUCAAAUUUGGACCACUUGCAUAGUUUUGUGUGCCGAAAAAAACUUUGCCCUUCACAUUGACCUAGUGACCUACUUUCACAUUUUUAAGGUACAGGCUUCAAAUUUGGACCACAUGCAUAGUUUUGUAUUCCGAAAUAAAAUUUGACCAUGAUUUUGACCUAGUGACCUACUUUUACAUUGCUCAAGCUACAGCCUUCAAAUCUGGACCACUUGCAUAGUUUUGUGUACCGAAAUGAACUUUGACCUUUACAUUGACCUAGUGACCUACUUUUACAUUUUUAAGGUACAGGCUUCAGAUUUGGACCACAUGCAUAGUUUUGUAUUCUGAAAUAAAAUUUGACCUUGAUUUUGACCUAGUGACCUACUUUUACAUUUCUCAAGCUACAGCCUUCAAAUUUGGACCACUUGCAUAGUUUUGUGUACCGAAAUGAAUGUUGACCUUUACAUUGACCUAGUGACCUACUUUCACAUUUUUAAGGUACAGGCUUCAAAUUUGGAACACAUGCAUAGUUUUGUAUUCUGAAAUAAAAUUUGACCUUGAUUUUGACCUAGUGACCUACUUUUACAUUUCUCAAGCUAUAGCCUUCAAAUUUGGACCACAUGCAUAGUUUUGUGUACCGAAAUGUACUUUGACCUUUACAUUGACCUAGUGAUCUACUUUCACAUUUUUGAAGGUACAGGCUUCAAAUUUGGACCACAUGCAUAGUUUUGUUUUCCGAAAUAGAAUUUGACCUUGAUUUUGACCUAGUGACCUACUUUUACAUUUCUCAAGCUACAGCCUUCAAAUUUGGACCACUUGCAUAGUUUUGUGUACCGAAAUGAACUUUGACCUUAAGAUUGACCUAGUGAACUACUUUCACAUUUCUGUAGCUAUAGGCUUCAAAUUUAGACCACAUGCAUAGGAUUGUGUACUGAAACAAACUUUGACCUUGACAUUGACCUAGUGACCUACUUUCACAUUUCUCAAGCUACAGCUUUUGAAUUUGGACCACAUGCACAGUGUUGUGUACGGAAAUGAAACUUUGACCUCGAGGUAGUCAAUAAGUCUUGAAAUUUGGAACACUCAAAAAUGGCACAUUGGUGGGCGCCAAGAUCACUCUGUGAUCUCUUGUACUUUUUUACUAAAUUAUGCCCCUUUUUCGACUUUCUUAUUCAUUCAAGCGACAAGGCUGUUAAAUAGUCGAGCGUUGCUGUCCUCAGACAGUUCUUGUUUAUGAUAAACCAAAAUUUGUAGUCCUGUUUGGCACCAUAUAACCUAUACUGUGUUGGUGCGCCGUAAAACCUAAAAAAAUAAAUGAAUUACAGAUUACGGGCCUCGCAGCAAAAUUGUAAGCCCGUAGCCUAUAGACAUGUCGCAUGUGGCAUUGCACAAUCACCCCACAGGCAUUGUUAGGAGGCCGCGUACUGAUAAUGUAGCCAACGCACGAUUUUCCAUGGACAUGGUGCCCAAAAGAAAUCGUAGACUGAUAGAUGCUUACCCGGCUGAGAAAAUUCCAGAGUUUUCCAUGGAAUGUCUAUGAAUUUCCACGGAAGUCCAGACUCCGAAAUAUUCUGACAAACUUUCCAGAGUUGGAUAUGGAAUACUGCGGAAAACUGUGGAAAAAUGUCCAGGGAUUUCCAGAGUACUUUCCAUUGACAAUUUUGCGGAGUGAUCCCACGGACGUCUGUGAACAAUUUUUCGAAGUUAUUCCAUGAACAUCAGUGGACAAUUUUCCGGAAUGGUCCAGGAAGAUGUACUGACAGUAUUAUUCAAUAGCAAAACGUGAUUAAUUACACUUUUUUGCGAUUGAGCAAUAACACUUUAGUACAAGCAAUAUAAUUUUAUUGCAUGUGAUCACUUUUGCAGUUUCAAACAUUAUGUGAUUAUAUGAACAAGGAGAAUGAAUCUUUGCCAGUUAAAAGUGACUGAUUAGAAUAUUUUUAAGCAUAUACAUACUUGUGAACAAAGAUAAGUUACACUAAAAUAAUGAUGAAAUCAUUCAAAGAAAGUAUCUAAAGUCAUCUGUUCUAAAUCUGCAUAUUAUUUAUAAAAUCUUUGUGAAGCUUUUAGUUACUUUAGCAUUCUAAGAAAAUUCUUCUUUGUAGGACCAGUUGAUCUAAUUGGCUGAACUUGAUCACAUGGUAUUCCCAGUCUGAUGCUAAUUGUUUUCUGAUGUGUUUAAAAUCCCUCAGAAAAUUUUCUAAGUGCUACAUUUCCGCAGUGUCCGUGAACAUUCCAUGAACAUGUUGAAAGAUGUCCAGAGUAAUUUCCAGAGAUGUCCAUGGAAAAUAUUUGCAAUCACUCUGGACAUGUUAUAUAACAGGUGACUUUUUCCAUACUUUUCAUGGAAGUUUUGCAUUUGUCCACAGUUUUUCCACAGUCACUCUGGAAUAUGCACAGCCGGGUACAUACCUGACUAAAUACCAAUUGUACUGUUGUAAGUUUAAGGCAACUGAUGUUUGCUUACAUAUCUGACAAAUACACAAUGUAUUAAAGGCAGCUCAUAACUGCUUAUAUACACUGGACAAAGACGCACUGUACUGUAAUGAAUUAAGGCAGCUCAUAACUGCUUUUAUACACUGGACAAAGACCACUGUACUGUAAUGAAUUAAAGGUGACUCAUAACUGCUUAUAUACACUGGUUAAAGACGCACUGAACUGUAAUGAACUAAAGGUGACUCAUAACUGCUUAUAUACACUGGACAAAGACACACUGAACUCUAAUGAAUUAAAGGUGACUCAUAACUGCUUAUAUACACUGGACAAAGACACACUGAACUCUAAUGAAUUAAAGGUGACUCAUAACUGCUUAUAUACGCUGGACAAAGAUGCACUGAACUGUAAUGAAUUAAAGGUGACACAUAUUUAUACAUUGACAUAUUGAUUGCUAAUAUACCUGCACAAAUUACACUAUUGUAUUAAGUUUAAGGUGACUCCUAAUUGCUUUAUAUCAGGGCAAAUUACACACUUUACUGUAGUAAGUUAAUGACUGUUUUAUAUGAGUACCAGGACAAAUUACACACUUUACUGUAGUAAGUUAAUGAGGACUACCGUAUAUGUGUACCUGGACAAAUUACACACUUCUGUAGUAAGUUAUGACGACUAUACCUGGACAAUUAACACACUCUACUGUAGUAGAAUAAUGGGGACUUGCUUUUAUACCUGGACAAAUUACACACUCUACUGUAGUAGGAUAAUGGCGACUUGCUUUUAUACCUGGACAAAUACACACUCUACUGUAUUAGGAUAAUGGUGACUUGCUUUUAUACCUGGACAAAUUACAAGCUCUACUGUAGUAGAAUAAUGGGGACUUGCUUUUAUACCUGGACAAAUUACACACUCUACUGUAGUAGGAUAAUGGCGACUUGCUUUUAUACCUGGACAAAUUACACACUCUACUGUAGUAGGAUAAUGGCAACUUGCUUUUAUACCUGGACAAAUACACACUCUACUGUAGUAGGAUAAUGGCGACUUGCUUUUAUACCUGGACAAAUUACAAGCUCUACUGUAUUAAGUAAAUGACUCAGACUUGCUUGUAUACCUGGACUUCUACACAAUAUAAUGUAAUAAGUUAAGGACAACUCCAACUUGGUUAUAUACCUGGACAAAUAGUGCUGAUAUAUAUUCCCACAUAAUUUAAAGCUUCAGUUGCAAUAUCAGGAGGGGACCUUUUUUCAAAUGAACUGUUUAAUUUUGAAUGAUUUGGAGAUUUAGUCCAUUAAGGUAGUUCUGCACGUUCAGAUCAAUUUUUUUUCUGCAAUAUAGAAUUUGAUUAAACUCUUAAGAUUAUAAAUAAACAUAAUGGCCUAUAAUAUGGUGAAAUAAAAUGUAUAGGUCUGUGUGUUUAUUUUUGAGAUAUUUGACCAUGAUUAAAAUGAACCGUUCAAUUCAGGAAUUAUUUUGAAUUAAUGUGUCAGAUGUUUUAAUAUCAAAUUUUAACACUGCCAUAAUGAUUGUAAUAAAUUUACUCACUUAUAUUGAUUUACUCCAGUCUGUGUGUGUGUCUGUCUGUGUGUGUGUGUGUCUGUCACAAGUUUGUCCGCACCCUAAGUCGUACAUUUCUCCGAUUUUCGCCAAACUUAAACAAAAUGUGUUCGACCAUAAGACCUCGGCCAAGUUCGAUAACUAGCCAAAUCGGUCUAGGCGUAUUUGAGUUAUGGCCCUUGAAUUACUAAAAAUCGGCCUUUUUACUCUUGUCCACACUGAGUUGAACAUUUCUCAUCCAAUCUUCACCAAACUUGAACAAAAUGUGUUUGACCAUGAGACCUCGGUAAAGUUCGAUAACUAGCCAAAUCAGUCCAGGCAUUUUGGAGUUACGGCCCUUGAAUUACUGAAAAAUCGGCCUUUUUACUCUUGUCCGCACUCUAAGUGGAACAUUUCUCAAUCCGAUCUUCACCAAACUUGAGUAAAAUGUGUUUGACCAUAAGACCUCAGACAAGUUCAAUAAUGAGCCAUAUCGGUUAAGGCAUUUUGGAGUUCUGGCCCUUGAAUUGUAGUGAGUAAACAGUAUAUAAAGACUGACUUGCUAUUUAGAUGAUUAGGCAGUUGUGGGAGACAUUCGCUUUUCUCAAAAGCAUCUCUAGUUCAUAAAAUGAUUUUUAUUUCUGUAUGCUGAAUCCAGGCCUGAUUCUACGUUUUCUGGAUAAAUGAUGUUAUGCCAUCACUUCUGUUAAUCAAACGUGCAGAACUACUUUAAUUGUCAAAGAAAGGGCAUUAAUGAUCAUUAAAUUGUAAAGGAGAGAUGUAUAAUAAAGAAAAUAAAAAAGAAUGUGUGUUACUUGUAUAAAACUGAACACUGUUUAUGUAGAUAUGAUAAAUUGUGUAUAGUAGAAUAAGGUUGUAGAAAUUGAGAUACUUGUUAAGUUUUUGUUGUGUUUAAUAUAUCAUUGGGUUUCAUAUUUUAAUUUUACUUAAUAUUCAGACUAUUGUGGUGUUAUAGAACUUUGUUAUUAUAUUAAUUUAUGUUGAGUGUAAUUCUCUAUUGCAAAUGAUGAAAUUUUUCCUGUGGAAAAACAACAACUUGAUUUACAGAGAGUUGGGGCCCAGUUGUUUGAAACUUUAACAGACUGUUAAACUAAUUGCCUGUUAAAUUUUGAUUCAAAAUUCUAAUGUUAUAGUAGCAAACACUAGUACGGUGUUUUAAUUUUACUGCAGAGACAUUUUUAGCUCACCUGUCACAUAGUGACAAGGUGAGCUUUUGUGAUCACGCAGCGUCCGUCGUCCGUGCGUACGUCCGUCCGUCCGUCCGUAAACUUUUGCUUGUGACCACUCUAGAGGUCACAUUUUUUGUGGGAUCUUUAUGAAAAUUGGUCAGAAUGUUCAUCUUGAUGAUAUCUAGGUCAAGUUCGAAAUUGGGUCACGUGCCAUCAAAAACUAGGUCAGUAGCUCUAAAAAUAGAAAAACCUUGUGACCUCUCUAGAGGCCAUAUAUUUCACAAGAUCUUCAUGAAAAUAGGUCAGAACGUUCACCUUGAUGAUAUCUAGGUCAAGUUCGAAACUGGGUCACGUGCCUUCAAAAACUAGGUCAGUAGGUCUAAAAAUAGAAAAACUUUGUGACCUCUCUAGAGGCCAUAUAUUCCACAAGAUCUUCAUGAAAAUAGGUCAGAACGUUCACCUUGAUGAUAUCUAGAUCAGGUUUGAAAUUGGGUCACGUGCCGCCAAAAACUAGGUCAGUAGGUCAAAUAAUAGAAAAACCUUGUGACCUCUCUAGAGGCCAUAUUUUUCAUGGGAUCUGUAUGAAAGUUGGUCUGAAUGUUCAUCUUGAUGAUAUCUAGGUCAAGUUCGAAAAUGGGUCAUGUGCCGUCAAAAACUAGGUCAGUAGGUCAAAUAAUAGAAAAACCUUGUGACCUCUCUAAAGACCAUAUUUUUCAUGGGAUCUGUAUGAAAGUUGGUCUGAAUGUUCAUCUUGAUGAUAUCUAGGUCAAGUUCGAAACAGGGUCGUGUGCGGUCAAAAACUAGGUCAGUAGGUCUAAAAAUAGAAAAACCUUGUGACCUCUCUAGAGGCCAUACUUGUGAAUGGAUUUCCAUAAAAAUUGGUCAGAAUGUUCAUCUUGAUGAUAUCUAGGUCAAGUUUGAAACUGGGUCACGUGCCUUCAAAAAGUAGGUCAGUAGGUCAAAUAAUGAAAAAAUGUUGUGACCUCUCUAGAGGCCAUAUUUUUCAUGGGAUCUGUAUGAAAGUUGGUCUGAAUGUUUAUCUUGAUGAUAUAUAGGUCAAGUUUGAAACUGGGUCAACUGCGAUCAAAAACUAUAUCAGUAGGUCUUGAAAUAGGAAAACCUUGUGACCUCUCUAGAGGCCAUACCCUUGAAUUGAUCUUCAUGAAAAUUGGUCAGAAUGUUCACCUUGAUGAUAUCUAGGUCAAGUUUGAAACUGGGUCACGUGCCUUAAAAAACUAGGUCAUUGGGUCAAAUAAUAAAAAAACCUUGUGACCUCUCUAGAGGCCAUACUUUUCAUGGAAUCUGUAUGAAAGUUGGUCUGAAUGUUCAUCUUGAUGAUAUCUAGGUCAAGUUUGAAACUGGGUCAUCUGCGGUCAAAAACUAGGUCGGUAGGUCUUAAAUUUUUUUAAAUCUUUUGACCUCUCUAGAGGCCAUAUUUUUCAAUGGAUCUUCAUGAAAAUUAAUCUGAAUGUUCACCUUGAUGAUAUCUAGGUCAGUAUCGAAACUGGGUCACAUGCGGUCAAAAACUAGGCCAGUAGGUAUAAAAAUAGAUAAACCUUGUGACCUCUCUAGAGGCCAUAUUUUUCACGAGAUCUUCAUGAAAAUUAGCGAGAAUGUUCACCUUGAUGAUAUCUAGGUCAAGUUCGAAACAGGGUCACGUACCUUUGAAAACUAGGUCAAUAGGUCAAAUAAUAGAAAAACCUUGUGACCUCUCUAGAGACCAUAUUUUUCAACGGAUUUUCAUGAAAAUUGGUCAGAAUUUUUAUCUUGAUAAUAUCUAGGUCAAGUUCAAAAUUGGGUCACAUGAGCUCAAAAACUAGGUCACUAUGUCAAAUAAUAGAAAAAAACGACGUCAUACUCAAAACUGGGUCAUGUGGGAAGAGGUGAGCGAUUCAGGACCAUCAUGGUCCUCUUGUUUGUGUUCAUGAUAACUCAUAAAUUUGCUUUUCUAAGUUUUCUAAACAGUCUGAAUAUAAUCCUAAAAGUAAAUUGACCAUUAGCUUAAUUGCCUGUUAAAGUUUUGAACAACUGGACCCUGGGCUUAAAAUUUAAGCUUUAAAAUGUAUAAUUUUUAAUUCCCCCCUUCAAAGAAGGAGGGGUAUAUUGUUAUGCAGAUGUCUGUCUGUCGGUCGGUAGGUAGACCAAUCUGUUUCAGGAUGAUAACUCAAGAACGCUGUGGCCUAGGAUCAUGAAAGUUGAUAGGGAGGUUGGCCAUACCCAGCAGAUGACCCCUAUUGAUUUUGAGAUCAGUAGGUCAAGGUCACAGUGACCCGGAACAGUUAAAUGGUUUCCAGAUGAUAACUCAAGAAUGCUUGGGCCUAGGUUCAUGAAUGUUGAUAGGGAGGUUGGUCAUGACCAGCAGAUGACCCCUAUUGAUUUUGAUGCCAGUAGGUCAAAGGUCAAGGCCAGUUUGACCUGGAAGAAUUGGACCAUUUCAGGACGAUUACUUGAGAACGCAUGGGCCUAGGAUCACGAAACUUGAUAGGAAAAGUGAUCAUGAUCGGCAGAUUACCCCUAAUGAUUUUGAUGCCAGUAGCUCAAAGGUCAAGGCCACAUUAACCUGGAACAAUUAAACCAUUUCAGGAUGAUAACUUGAGAACGCAUGGGCCUAGGAUCAUGAAACUUGAUAGGAAAGUUGAUUGUGAUCAGCAGAUAACCCCUAUUGAUACUUACUUCAGUUGAUCAAAGGUCAAGAUCACAGUGACCCAGAACAGUUGAACGGUUUCUGGAUGAGCGCUUGGGCCUAGGAUCAUGAAAGGGAGGUUGGUUAUGACCAGCAGAUGACCCCUGUUGAUUUUGAGUUGAGUAGGCCAAAGGUCAAGGUAACAUUGACCCAGAAUAGUUAUACACUUUCCAGAUGAUAACUUGAGAACGCGUGGGCCUAGGAUCACGAAACUUCAUAGGGAGGUAGAUCUUGAUCAACAGAUGACCCCUAUUGAUUUUGAGGUCAAUAGGUCAAAGGUCAAGGCCACAUUGACCCAGAACAAUAGAACUUUUUGUGUACAGUGACCAAAUAAGUUCUGUUUCUUGUGCUAUUACUGAAUACAUCAAGGGGGGCAUUUCAUGUUCAACAAGCUCUUGUUUUAAUUUGACUUGCAUUUUAAUCAGAAAUUUCAAUCUUACAAAUGACAAAGCAAAAAUUCAAAAAGAUCAACUCACCUAAACCAAAGCUGUCUCAGUGAAAUGUCCUCAUUACUUAAAUGAGUCUGCUUCCACAGGGGCAACAAGUCAGGUUUUGGGUUGUCAGAGGAGCAAAAAGUAAAGUCAAGGGCUGUCAAAGGAGCAUAUUGUGAGAUCAAUUACUGUCACAGGAGCAAUCAAGUAAGGUCAAAGGCUACUAUUGGGGCAGUAAAGUCAGAUCUUAGGCUGUCACUGGGGCAAUAAAUUCAGGUCUAAGGCUACUAUUGGGACAGUAAAAUCAGAUCUUAGGCUGUCAAUGGGGCAAAGAAGUCAGGUCUUAGCCUGACAUUGGGGCAGUAAAGUCAAAUCUUAGGCUGUCACAGGGGCAAUGAAGUCUGCAUUUGAGCUGUCACUGGGGCAAUGAAGUCUGCUUUUGAGCUGUCAGUAGGGCAAUGAAGUCAGGUCUUGGGCUGUCAUUGGGGCAGUAAAGUCAAAUCUUAGGCUGUCACUAGGGCAAUGAAGUCAGUUUUUGAGCUGUCGGUGGGGCAAUGAAGUCCGGUCUUGGGCUGUCUUUGAAGUCAGAUAUUGGGGCAGUAAAGUAAGGUCUAAGGCUACUAUUGGGACAGCAAAGUCAGAUCUUAGGCUGUCACUGGGGCAGUGAAGUCAGCUUUUGAGCUGUCAGUAGGGCAAUGAAGUCAGGUCUUGGGCUGUCAUUGGAGCAGUGAAGUCAGAUCUUAAGCUGUCACUGGAGCAAUGAAGUCUGGGUCUAAGGCUGCUAUUGGGACAGUAAAGUCAGAUCUUAGGCUGUCACUGGGGCAAUGAAGUCAAGUCUUGGGCUGUUACUGGGGCAAUGAAGUCAGGUCUUGGGCAGUUACCGGGGCAAUGAAGUCAGGUCUUGAACUGUUACUGGGGCAGUGAAGUCAGGUCUUGUGCUGUUACUGGGGCAAUGAAGUCAGGUCUUGGGCUGUUACUGGGGCAAUGAAGGUCCUGCAAUGAUUUUUCUAACCACAUGCAAGAGCUAAAUAUAAAAAUACCUUUAAAACACUUAUUUUCAGAUGAUAACCAAACUUUGCUAGAUCUUCACAAAACUUGGCCUGCAGCACCUCUGUCAAAUUAUAUAAAUAAGUCGGCUUGGCCUUUUUUGAGGCCACCAAGACAAAAAUGGUUCCACUUGGCCCAGUCCAUGAACCACCAGAGCUAAAAAUAGAAACAACCCUUUAAACAACUACUUCUCAUGAAGUAUUUGAUUGAUCUUCAUCAAACUUGGUCUUUGCAUUCUUGUAUGGACCUUUUUCAAGUUUAUUAACAUGGUUCUGGUUGGCCCCUUUUGGGAUCUGCCAGAGCUAAAGAUAUAUUUGUAUAUUUGGAACUCUUGUAUGCAAUGCAGGGCUCUGUCAUGGCUCUUUUGUCUUUUUUUAGCCAGAAAUGACUAGACUUCUGAAACAAAAGAUCUGCAGGAUCUUGAAUAUCAAUGAAAGUAGUUCAGGCAAAGAUGAAAUAGAGAAUCUGAGUUGAAGCAAGUACAUUUAAUGUGUUAUAUUUUCAGUCCCUUUAUUUAUUAGUGAAGUAAAGGCUGUAUUGUUUAUAGAACAUUUAUAUGUAAAAACUAUUAUCAGUGCUGUAUAAUGACUGUUACCUGCUUUUAGAGGAGUGUAACAGUUCACUACUGUAAAUAUUGUUCAUUUCCAGUCACUAUAUUUAGAUGGUCUAUGUUGGAGGGAAGGCACUGCCUUUUUAGAUAAAUUCAUCAGUAAGAAAUUGUUUUGUAAUGAAUGUACAUGUUGCACAGUUGAUUUCUGGGAUAGCUUUAAUGAUUGGUUGAUGGAAGCUCUAUUAUUAAAGUAUUUGUUAUCGCUUAAUUGUUCAUAUUGUUAUGUUAUUGAAUGUUUUAACAUAUUGUUGCAUAAUGUGUACAUUGAAUGUACUGAUUAUAUUGAAAGAAAAAAAUCAGUGUGUAAAACAAAGAAAAUAAAUAUUAUAAAAGAAAA